GAAAUGUGAAAGUGAAUGUCUUUGUGUCCUUACAUCAUCAUCUUCUAUCUACUCAAUUCUGUGUCAAGGUUGCACAUGUACAAUCUUCACUGUUGGAAGUUAAAGGAAACUUUUCCCAGGUUGAUGCAGACAUGUACGUCUGUGGACCCCUUUUCGUUGCAUUCCUUCUGUCUGCACCAGGUGUUUCAGGAAAUAAGUAUGGUGUGGAAUACAGCUUAACAGAGAUCUGUGCACCAGCUGGGUCUGCAGUGGAUAUUCCCUGCACAUACACCUAUCCAACAAAGGACAGAGUUAUGAAAGCAUUCUGGUUUACGAAAUGGGAGAAAGACAAGGAACCUGAAGACUUGUUUCAGAGUGAAGACUAUCGAGAUCGAGCUGAAUAUCGGGGGAGUAAAGAGCAUGACUGUACUCUCAGGAUAAAAAAUCUGAGAGACACAGACCAUGGGCUGAAAUAUAGAUUUAGGUUCAUAACAGAUGAUCCGGAUGGAAAAUAUGCUGGCAAUGAAGUGACUCUUUA